rnacentral:rRNA from 1 species
GACGAACGCUGGCGGCGUGCUUAACACAUGCAAGUCGAACGGACAGGCCUCUUUCGGGGGGUACUCGCGUGGCGAACGGGUGAGUAACACGUGCGUAAACUGCCCUUGUCUUUGGGUUAACUUAAGGCAACUGGGGGGAGUACAGGCUAGGUGCUCCUGCUGCCUGCAGGGUGCUGGAAUGUUUCGGCGGUUGGGGGUGGCCUCGCGGCUUAUCAGCUUGUUGUUGGGGUAGUGGUUUACCAAGGCCUUGACGGGUCGCCGGCCUGAGAGGGUGAUCGGCCACACUGAGUCUGAGAGACGGCCCAGACUGCGACGGGAGGCAGCAGUGGGGAAGCUUGCACAAUGGGUGGAGGCCUGAUGAAGCAGCGCCGUGUGCGGGAUGACGGCCUUCGGGUUGUAGACCGCUUUCGCUCAUGACGAAGCUUUGUGUGACGGUAGUGGGUAAAGAAGCACCGGCUAACUACGUG